UGGAAACGCAGCCAACUGUAGUAGUUGAGCCCAGAGCUGGACGUCUCCAAAGGCCUUGGCCGGGCGACAUCUCCCGCGUCAUUCUGCUGGGCCACCGGGCCCAGGUUCUCUGACUGACAGGGAACUGCAGGCUGCCAGGCUUGGGUAGGGGAAGCUGUCAGUCACUAGGAAGGGGCGGGCCUUCUCCCCCAGGUCUAAUGUUAUUCAAUCUGCCAUCUCCAAGGUUAUGACAGCUCUGACUUGAUACUAACCCAGAGCCAGCCAACCUGAGCAAACCCCAGCCUGGCGUGGACGAGGCUUCUCUUAGAGGUGCAGCAGGGGCCAGUCCUACAGCCUAAGCGCAUUCGUUCAUUCACUUAGUUAUGAAGUUCCUACCAGUGUGCAAAAUCCUGCUCUCCCCAGGAUGCAAUGAUGAAAAAUGAAUGACCAAGAAGCUAACGUUUUGUUGAGGGUAGGAAAUCAGAGAUGCAAGUGACUGGAAAAUGCAAAGAAGGGUUGAAUUAGGGGCAGAAGAGGGAUUCAGAGUGUUCUAGGCCAAUUAUUUUUACUGAAGCUUUUUACUCCCCAGUUCCUUUCUGACAGCACCCCACCUUAAACCCAGACCCCCUAGGUCUGUAACAGAGACCUGUGUAGGUACCCAGAAGGAACCAACAUAUUGACCAUGUCAGAGGCAGCUACUGCAACUUGCCCACUUCAAGUCCACUCCCAGUUGUAAAUGGCUAAUACCUCUUCCCUCCCUCUUCCUCAAGCAAAAAUGAAUGAGACACAGGAGCCAGGGAAAGCAGCUUUUAUUCAAGGAGGGCUUAACUACUGCCUCAAGCAGAGGAGGUGACACAACUUUUCAUGUUGCAUUUCUUCAGGAUACUGAUACUUUUCCAAAUAGUGGGGAAGUGGUGGAAUCAUGGUCCCAAUGUCUGCCAGCUACUUUCAGCCCUGUCCCCAAAUGAUACCAGACUGAGUAGGAGCAAAGCUUAUUUGUAGCAAUGCAACCCAGAGGCCCAGUCACUGCAACUUCAAGGCAAAAGGCAGAGAAGACCCACUGUAUCAGCUGGGUGGAUGAAGGUGGUGAUGGCUGAAGGAGGCAGGAGCCGAGCACGUCAGAAGUUCAGACAGAGACAUUACUUUUCUUUAUGGUGGAU